rnacentral:rRNA from 1 species
UACGAAGGGUGCAAGCGUUACUCGGAAUUACUGGGCGUAAAGCGUGCGUAGGCGGUUCGUUAAGUCCGUUGUAAAAGCCCUGGGCUCAACCUGGGAAUGGCAGUGGAUACUGGCGAGCUAGAGUGUGAUAGAGGAUGGUGGAAUUCCCGGUGUAGCGGUGAAAUGCGUAGAGAUCGGGAGGAACAUCCGUGGCGAAGGCGACUACCUGGACCAGCA